CUGCAUCCACUGAAUAGUUUCCUGUUGUUCUUUGGUUUGCACUAGGAUGCAAGAGGAAAAAAAAAAUCCCUGUGCUUUCUGUGUGUGGCAGCCCAGAUUGAAUAAGGGAAUACAUAU
rnacentral:snoRNA from 1 species